rnacentral:lncRNA from 10 species
GAUUGAAUUCACAGGUCCAUGUUGUAUUUCGUUGUCAUGUCUCCUUGGUUGGCAAUAUAUGAACGUAUCUCAGUCGUGGAAGACAUUGACACUUUUGAAGAGUACAGCUCCAUGUGAUUUGUCCUUGCUGAUGAAGCAGUAACAUAUACAGCAUUGCUCUAGUGUCUGCAUUCUGUGGAACGGAGGACAUGGAUUCUCACUAUGACACCCAGGCUGGAGUGCAGUGGCACAAUCAUAGCUGACUACAGCCUCGAAUUUCUGGGCUCAAGCAAGGCUUUCAUCUCAACCUCCCCAGGAGCUGGGAUUACAGAUGGUGUCAGAAGCGGGGUUCAAAGUAGAGCUUUAAUGACCCCCAGAAGUGCUGAGUGAACAAGCAAGGUACCUGCAAGGACCCACUUGUGUCCUUUGAUCUCUCAGAGCAGUGGAAUUUUCAGCCUGCCAGCCUGCCCUACAGAAUUCAGACUUGUCAGCCUCCACAAUCAGCAAGAAUUAAAUUUGAAAGACCAUAUGAAGAAGCACAGUAUUUAUCCAACCAACAUUAAAAUGUCACUCUGGGAGAUUAUUUCAAAUUACUUUUAUAGUUUUGAAUGAUUUUUAAUAUUAUCAUUGAUAAACCAUCUAAGUUAUAAGUAAAAUAUUUCAAGUUUAGAAAAAAGACUGUUGGGCCAGGUGUGGUGGCUCACACCUGUAAUCCCAGCACUUUGGAAGGCCGAGGCAGGCGGAUCACCUGAGGUCAGGAGUUCAAGACCACCCUGGCCAGCAUAGUGAAACCUCAUCUCUACAAAGAUACAGAACUUAGCCGGGCAUAUUGGCGGGUGCCUGUAAUCCCAGCUACUCAGGAGGCUGAGGCGGGAGAAUGGCUUGAACCCAGGAGGCGGAGGUUGUAGUGAGCCGAGAUCACGCCACUGCACUUCAGCCUGGGCGACAGAGCGAGAUUCCAUGUCAAAA